rnacentral:lncRNA from 1 species
CUUGGGGUAAAACUUCUACAGAUAUUUUUGCCAACUCUGCUAAAGAUAAGAACUGAAUUAAUGUAUUAAAAAUAGCUCUCAUCUUAUUGGACCACUUUUAUGUGGGAAGGAUAAAUUUUUUCACAUGAAUAAGAGUUCUGAUCAGGGCAAGAUCUUCUUAAUAUAUAAGUAAAGUGUUUCAACAUCUGAUUUCAUCUUUUGUAAAAGUUGCACUUGCCAAAAAGUUUGACGGGGUUAAACAAAGGACAAGGGCCAUACUGAUAAUAAAAUAUAAUAAAAGAAAAGAAAAGAAAUUUUAAUAAUUUAAGUUAAGGAAAAAGUUAAUCGAACCUGGUGACUAUUGAUGCGGGCUCGGUGAGUCAAGGAGUCGAAAGAAAGAUUUCUGGGACUCUCAAGUUCUGGCAGUAGUGCUCUUUUAUUCAGAGAAUAACAUGGAGUAGCAUAGGGACAGGACCCGGGUAGUGGAGAGCUGCAGCAUGGGGACAAGACCCAUGGACAGUAAGAGCUGCAGGCAUGGGGACAGGACCCAUGGGCAGUAAGAGCUGCAAACAUGGGGACAGGACCCAUGGACAGUAAGAGCUGCAAACAUGGGGACAGGACCCAUGGGCAGUAAGAGCUGCAAACAUGGGGACAGGACCCAUGGGCAGUAAGAGCUGCAAACAUGGGGACAGGACCCAUGGGCAGUAAGAGCUGCAAACAUGGGGACAGGACCCAUGGGCAGUAAGAGCUGCAAACAUGGGGACAGGACCCAUGGGCAGUAAGAGCUGCAAACAUGGGUUGAGGGUAGGGCUAAAUUUAAGGCAUAGGUAUGUGAGUUAUCUCUUUACAAGACAAAGGAAAGAUUAUGUUAAAAAAAAGUCAUUAAAAUGGUAUCAGUGCAGGUGGGGUCUGGUUAUUGGGUGGUCCUAUAACUUUAGAUAAGAAUCAGAUCGGAUGAGUUCAGGAUAUCCUAUGCUUUCCAGGAGGAUGAGAGAGAUCAGUAUGUAGGGCAGGACUCCUUGGGCUUCUUUCCUUGGGGGAGGGGCAGCCUUGAUCUUCAUCAACUAUAAAUCCAGCUUCUCUCAAAAUACCAAUAAAUAGAUGUAGUUUAUAGGGGUUUUAAAAAAAUGUUGUAGUUAGACUAUUGGGGCAAAUGUAAGGAUGUAGGGGUGAUGAGGUAGUAGUUUCGCAGACUAUGCACACCUAGAGAGUUGAAAAGUGUCCCUGGCUGAAAACCCAGGGAAUUUUAUUGUAUUAUUUAGAGAAACGG